AUUGAACGCUGGCGGCAGGCCUAACACAUGCAAGUCGAGCGAGCGGCGGACGGGUGAGUAAUGUAUGGGGACUGCCCGAUAGAGGGGGGUAACUCCUGGAAAAGGUAGCUAAUACCGCAUACUAUAGGAUACGCCAUAUGGGAUUAGCUAGUAGGUGAGGUAAUGGCUCACAUAGGCGACGAUCCCUAGCUGGUCUGAGAGGAUGAUAAGCCACACUGGGACUGAGACACGGCCCAGACUCCCACGGAGGCAGCAGUGGGGAAUAUUGCACAAUGGGCGCAAGCCUGAUGCAGCCAUGCCGCGUGUAUGAAGAAGGCCCUAGGGUUGUAAAGUACUUUCAGUAGGGAGGCGUUACCGACAGAAGAAGCACCGGCUAACUCCGUGCCAGCAGCCGCGGUAAUAC
rnacentral:rRNA from 1 species